rnacentral:lncRNA from 1 species
CCCAGAGUGAGCGGCAGCCCAGCAGCUUUGGUCUGCCUCAGAGUCUCCCUUCAGUGCUCUAUCAGUCCAGAUGUGACCGAGGAACGGAGCUGCACUGAUCACACCCUGCUGCACCACAGGCUGGGGAAUCCCACGCAGAAAGCCAUUAUCCUAGAAUUAUUCCUGAUGCGCUUUCCACAUUGUUCAUGCUUCAUUACUGAUAGGAGUAAUUCUGAACAGACCUGUGCGGGACCAUCUUUCUUGCCCAGAAAAGCAUGGUGACCAUCGAUUGCCAUAGCGGAGUCCUACAGAAGACAGCUUCCUCCACCCUUCCGCUGAAUGCUGCCUUGCUCCAGUGGGGCUAUUCUUGCUGUUUCUGGGAGUUUUC